rnacentral:rRNA from 1 species
CGCUAGCGGCGGGCUUAAUACAUGCAAGUUUAGGGGUUCAGCAAUGGACACCGGCGGACGGGUGCGUAACAUGUAUGCAACCUGCCCUUUACUGGAGGAUACUCCGGAGAAAUUCGGCACAACACUCCAUAUACUCAUACUUUCGCAUGGGAGAAUGAGGAAAGGUUACGGUAAAGGAUGGGCAUGCGUCUGAUUAGCUAGUUGGCGAGGUAACGGCUCACCAAGGCGACGAUCAGUAGCUGGUCUGAGAGGAUGAUCAGCCACACUGGCACUGAGAUACGGGCCAGACUCCUACGGGAGGCAGCAGUAGGGAAUAUUGGUCAAUGGGCGAAAGCCUGAACCAGCCACGCCGCGUGCAGGAAGAAGGUCCUCUGGAUUGUAAACUGCUUUUGCCAAGGGAUAAAGAGAGGCUAUACGCCUAAAUGAAGGUACUUGGUGAAUAAGCCACGGCUAACUACGUG